ACGGCUAGAUCACGUGGAAACAGCGGUUCUUGUUUGCUCACCGAAGUUAAGUAACGUCGAGCCUGAUCAGUACCUAGAUCGGUGACCGCUUGAGAAUACCAGGUGUUAUAA